rnacentral:rRNA from 1 species
CCUACGGGAGGCAGCAGUAGGGAAUAUUGCUCAAUGGGGGAAACCCUGAAGCAGCAACGCCGCGUGGAGGAUGAAGGUUUUCGGAUUGUAAACUCCUUUUGUUAGAGAAGAUAAUGACGGUAUCUAACGAAUAAGCACCGGCUAACUCCGUGCCAGCAGCCGCGGUAAUACGGAGGGUGCAAGCGUUACUCGGAAUCACUGGGCGUAAAGAGCGCGUAGGCGGGAUAGCAAGUCAGAUGUGAAAUCCUAGGGCUUAACCAUAGAACUGCAUUUGAAACUGUUAUUCUAGAGUAUGGGAGAGGUAGGUGGAAUUCUGGGUGUAGGGGUAAAAUCCGUAGAGAUCAAGAGGAAUACUCAUUGCGAAGGCGACCUGCUAGAACAUAACUGACGCUGAUGCGCGAAAGCGUGGGGAGCAAACAGGAUUAGAUACCCCGGUAGUC